UCUCCGUCGGUGAACCAGCGGAGGGAUCAUUACCGAGUUUACAACUCCCAAACCCAAUGUGAACCAUACCAAACUGUUGCCUCGGCGGGGUCACGCCCCGGGUGCGUCGCAGCCCCGGAACCAGGCGCCCGCCGGAGGGACCAACCAAACUCUUUCUGUAGUCCCCUCGCGGACGUUAUUUUUACAGCUCUGAGCAAAAAUUCAAAAUGAAUCAAAACUUUCAACAACGGAUCUCUUGGUUCUG
rnacentral:misc_RNA from 1 species